rnacentral:rRNA from 1 species
UACGUAGGGUGCAAGCGUUGUCCGGAUUCAUUGGGCGUAAAGAGCGUGUAGGCGGCCAGGUAGGUCGGUUGUGAAAACUGGAGGCUCAACCUUCAGACGUCGACCGAAACCCCCUGGCUAGAGUCCGGGAGAGGAGAGUGGAAUUCCUGGUGUAGCGGUGAAAUGCGCAGAUAUCAGGAAGAACACCCGUGGCGAAAGCGGCUCUCUGGAACGGUACUGACGCUGAGACGCGAAAGCGUGGGGAGCGAACAGG